AAUCAACGCUGGCGGCGUGCCUAACACAUGCAAGUCGAACGCGAAAGGGGGCUUCGGCUCCUGAGUAGAGUGGCGUCCGGGUGAGUAACACGUAGGUAAUCUGCCUUCGGGUGGGGAAUAACCAGUCGAAAGAUUGGCUAAUACCGCAUAAUGCAGCGGCACCUAAUGGUGAUUAGUUGUUAAAGCGGGGGAUCGCAAGACCUCGCGCCUGAAGAGGAGCCUGCGGCAGAUUAGCUAGUUGGUGAGGUAAUGGCUCACCAAGGCUUCGAUCUGUAGCUGGUCUGAGAGGACGGCCAGCCACACUGGCACUGACACACGGGCCUAGACUCCUACGGGAGGCAGCAGUGGGAACUUUGGGCAAUGGCGAAGCCUGACCCAGCAACGCCGCGUGAGGGAGGAAUCC
rnacentral:rRNA from 1 species